rnacentral:misc_RNA from 1 species
UUGAAUGAACUUGGUCAAGUUGUUGCUGGCUCCUAGGAGCAUAUUGUGCACACUUGACCUUCAUUCUAAUCACCACUUGUGCACUUGUCUGUAGAAAAACCCCUCAGAUAAAUUAAAUUAUUCAGGGUAUAUGCGCCUAUAUGCACCUGAGUUUGAAGGUUUGCUGUGCGAAAGUCAGCUUUCCUUUAUUCUAGUUUCAUUUGGGGGGGUAAUCUAUGUUUAUUAUAUUAUAACACUUCUAAUGUAUGUUAACUGAAUGUUUGGGUUACUUAUAUUGAAAUA